GAAUUGGCGGGGGAGCNCCCCAAGGGGUGAAGCCUGCGGUUCAAUUGGAGUCAACGCCAGAAAUCUUACCCGGAGAGACAGCAGAAUGAAGGUCAAGCUGAAGACUUUACCAGACAAGCUGAGAGGUGGUGCAUGGCCGUCGCCAGCUCGUGCCGUGAGAUGUCCUGUUAAGUCAGGUAACGAGCGAGAUCCCUGCCGCUAGUUGCUAUCAUUAUUCUCAGGAAUAGUGGAGCGAAUUAGCGGGACUGCCGUUGUUAAAACGGAGGAAGGAAGGGGCUACGGCAGGUCAGUAUGCCCCGAAACUCUGGGGCCACACGCGGGCUGCAAUGGUAGUGACAAUGAGUUCCAAACUCGAAAGAGAGUGGCAAUCUCUAAACGCUACCACAGUUAUGACUGAGGGCUGUAACUCGCCCUCACGAAUAUGGAAUCCCUAGUAACCGCGUGUCAUUACCGCGCGGUGAAUACGUCCCUGCUCCUUGCACACACCGCCCGUCGUUUCAUCGAAGUUUGCUUUUAGCGAGGUGAUGUUUAAUUGGCAUUAUCGAACUUGAGGUAAGCGACGAGGGAAAAGUCGUAACAAGGUA
rnacentral:rRNA from 1 species